AAGGAGGGAGAGGGGUUCCCUACGGGGGGGCAGCAGUGGUGAAUAUUGCCAAUGGGCGCAAACCUGAUGCAGCCAUGCCGCGUGUAUGAAGAAGGCCUUCGGGUUGUUAAGUUUUUUCACGGGGAGGAAGGGAGUAAAGUUAAUACCUUUGCUCAUUGACGUUACCCGCAGAAGAAGCCCCGGCUAACUCCGUGCCAGCACCGCGGUAAUACGGAGGGUGCAAGCGUUAAUCGGAAUUACUGGGCGUAAAGCGCAGCAGGCGGUUUGUUAAGUCAAUGUGAAAUCCCCGGGCUCAACCUGGGAACUGCUUUGAUACUGGCAAGCUUGAGUCUCGUAGAGGGGGGUAGAAUUCCAGGUGUAGCGGUGAAAAGCGUAGAGAUCUGGAGGAAUACCGGUGGCGAAGGCGGCCCCCUGGACGAAGACUGACGCUCAGGUGCGAAAGGGGAC
rnacentral:rRNA from 1 species